GAUGAACGCUAGCGGCAGGCCUAACACAUGCAAGUCGAGGGGCAGCAUAAGAUGUAGCAAUACAUUUGGUGGCGACCGGCGGACGGGUGCGUAACGCGUAUGCAACCUACCCUUAACAGGGGGAUAACGGAGGGAAACUUCCACUAAUACCCCAUAACAGUUCGAGUGGCAUCACUUGGAUUUGAAAAUUCCGAUGGUUAAGGAUGGGCAUGCGUUGUAUUAGAUAGUUGGUGAGGUAACGGCUCACCAAGUCAACGAUACAUAGGGGGACUGAGAGGUUAACCCCCCACACUGGAACUGAGACACGGUCCAGACUCCUACGGGAGGCAGCAGUGAGGAAUAUUGGUCAAUGGGGGCAACCCUGAACCAGCCAUGCCGCGUGCAGGAAGACGGCUCUAUGAGUUGUAAACUGCUUUUGUAAAGGGAUAAUUGUCGGUACGCGUACCGGCUUGAAGGUACUUUACGAAUAAGGAUCGGCUAACUCCGUGCCAGCAGCCGCGGUAAUACGGAGGAUCCAAGCGUUAUCCGGAUUUAUUGGGUUUAAAAGGUGCGUAGGCGGUGAGGUAAGUUAGAGGUGAAAGGCCGUGGCUCAACCACGGGACUGCCUCUGAUACUGCCCCGCUAGAGAGUAGAUGCGGUAGGCGGAAUGUGUGGUGUAGCGGUGAAAUGCUUAGAGAUCACACAGAACCCCGAUUGCGAAGGCAGCUUACCAAUCUAUAUCUGACGUUGAGGCAGGAAAGCGUGGGUAGCAAACAGGAUUAGAUACCCUGGUAGUCCACGCAGUAAACGAUGAUAGCUCGUUGUCGGCGAUACACAGUCGGUGACUUAGCGAAAGCGUUAAGCUAUCCACCUGGGGAGUACGUUCGCAAGAAUGAAACUCAAAGGAAUUGACGGGGGCCCGCACAAGCGGAGGAACAUGUGGUUUAAUUCGAUGAUACGCGAGGAACCUUACCCGGGCUUGAAAGUUAGUGACGGACAUGGAAACAUGUCUUCCCUUCGGGGCACGAAACUAGGUGCUGCAUGGUUGUCGUCAGCUCGUGCCGUGAGGUGUCGGAUUAAGUUCCAUAACGAGCGCAACCCUUGCCGAUAGUUGCCAUCAGGUCAUGCUGGGCACUCUAUUGGGACUGCCGGUGUAAACCGUGAGGAAGGUGGGGAUGACGUCAAAUCAGCACGGCCCUUACGUCCGGGGCGACACACGUGUUACAAUGGUCGGUACAGAGGGCAGCUACCCCGCGAGGGGAUGCGAAUCUCGAAAGCCGAUCUCAGUUCGGAUUGGAGGCUGAAACCCGCCUCCAUGAAGUUGGAUUCGCUAGUAAUCGCGCAUCAGCCAUGGCGCGGUGAAUACGUUCCCGGGC
rnacentral:rRNA from 1 species